rnacentral:rRNA from 1 species
UGAACGCUAGCUACAGGCUAACACAUGCAAGUCGAGGGGCAGCGAGAGGAAAGCUGCUUCCUUGUCGGCGACCGGCGCACGGGUGAGUAACGCGUAUCCAACCUCCCCAUAGUAGAGGAUAGCCCGGCGAAAGUCGGAUUAAUACUCUAUGUUGUAUAAUGAGGACAUCUGAAUUAUACCAAAGAUUCAUCGCUAUGGGAUGGGGAUGCGUCUGAUUAGCUUGUCGGCGGGGUAACGGCCCACCGAGGCAACGAUCAGUAGGGGUUCUGAGAGGAAGGUCCCCCACAUUGGUACUGAGACACGGACCAAACUCCUACGGGAGGCAGCAGUGAGGAAUAUUGGUCAAUGGACGAGAGUCUGAACCAGCCAAGUAGCGUGCAAGGAUGACUGCCCUAUGGGUUGUAAACUGCUUUUAUGCGGGAAUAAAGUCAGGUACGUGUACCUGUUUGUAUGUACCGCAUGAAUAAGGACCGGCUAAUUCCGUGCCAGCCGCCGC